GAUUUCAAGUAAAUAGUUAUUAACUUGUUCAGCUAAAUAAUUUUUCAGUGUGCAGACCUCUGAAUUAUUUGUACACAUAUGGAGCGAUCCUCAACCAGCAGGUUACUGAAUUUGUGUUGUCAUUCCAGUAGUAGUGGUGGAUUGACAAAGGUUCAUCCAUCUAAUACUUGAUCAAUAAAACACACUCUAAAGCCAGCUGCAGUUUAGGGAAGUAUCUAACCACUGACAGAAUACCAAGAAUAAAGACUGUGGUGGAGUUCCCUUCGUGGCGCAGUGGUUGACGAAUCCAACUAGGAACCAUGAGGUUGCAGGUUCGAUCCCUGCCCUUGCUCAGUGGGUUAACGAUCCGGCGUUGCCCAUGAGCUGUGGUGUGGGUCCCAGACGCAGCUCGGAUCCCGCGUUGCUGUGGCUCUAGCAUAGGCUGGCAGUUACAGCUCUGAUUCGACCCCUAGCCUGGGAACCUCCAUAUGCUGCAGGAGGGACCCAAGAAAUGGCAAAAAAAAAAAAAAAAAAAAAAAAAAAAAAAAACAAUAUAUAUUUAUAAUAAAAAUAGGCUUUUGUAUUUUUUAGAGUCAUAAAAAUGCUCUAAAUUUUCUAGUCAGCAAUGACUUUCAACAGCCUGUCAAUGUGGUGCUGUUAAUAUGAAAAGUAGAAAAAUUUGGUAAUUGAAUGUGAAGACCCAGCUUUAAACAGUUUUUAAUUACGAAAGUAAUACAUAAAAAGUUUUUUUUCAAAUGUCAAUAAAAACAAAAAUGUAUAGUAUGAAAACUAAAGCCUCCCUCAAAUAACCCAACCCUCUCCCCAGAAAUACACAUCACACCUCCCUCCUCACUGGUAACAGCAGUUAGCAAUGUGGAGAGUAUUUUACAGACUGUUUUCUAUGCAUCUACAAACAUAUAUGUACACAUAUACAUGUGUAGUGGAGGAGGGAGUUUUUUAAACAUCUGAGAUGAUAUUAUAUAUACUGUUUUGUGGGUGGUUCUUCUUCCUUUAACAAUUUGUCUCAGACAUCAUACAGGUCAUUACGUACAGACUAGAAGUUGCAAACUGGGAACCCAUAGUUCACAAAUCUUUAAAAAAAUUAAUUUGUUUCAACAUAAAAUGUCCAUUAUUUUCCAUUUUUUUUUAAAUGAAAAGAUCCAGCAGUGUCAUGCCAAAUCCUCACCAGGGACUGAUUAGAAAUAGGAGCCCCUGUAAUGGGACCCACAGUCUUGGUAUAAUACAAGCUCUUGCAACCCCCAGCUCCACAUCCAGGCUGGCCCUUUAAAUCUCCAAGUUUGCUAUCCCUACUUAGAUAUAUCUACAUUAUUCUAUUAAAAGGCUGUAUUACAUACAAGGAUUAUUGUACAACACAGGGAAUAUAGCCAGUACUUUGUAGUAACUAUAAAUGAAAUAUAACCUUUAAAAAUUUUGAAUCACUAUGUCAUAUACCUAUAAUUUACAUAAUAGUAUGCAUCAACUAUAGUUCAGUGAAAAACAUCAAAAAAAAUAAAUAAAAGGCUGCAUUGUAUCCCGUAACACAGAUGGGCCAUAAUUUAUUUAACCAUUUCUCUAUUUAUAUCAUAUUUUUAAUGUUCAAGUUUCAAGCUGUGGAGUAGAACCAAAUCCCAUAUUCAGAAAGAAACUUCCUCCUUUUUUGUUUUUAUCUUUUCCUAGAGUUUGUGAAGAUCCUGAAUCCAUAACUGAUAACACCCUUACAAAACUUCACAGAAAAUACAAAGGAUUGUUGUGAAAAGCUUGAACCUAUAACUGAUAAGGUCUUGCAAAAUUUUACAAAAAUACAAAGGAUUGUUCAAUAUUUUUCCCUUUGAAAAAUGAUAUUGUAACUGAGCGACCAGAGGCCCGGGAAUGGAAAGAGAAUGAGAGCAUUCUAAAAGAUAAAGAAAACACAACCAGAAGCUCAUUGGGAUGGGCCCAAUGUGUUAUUUAGUUAAAUCAGAAUUUUUCUCCUUAAAAAAAAAAAAAAAUGUGUCUGGCUUUAAAGUGACAAAGACCUGAUGAAUAAUGACGGUCUUCUUGGGUCUCUUUCAGCAGCUGUCUCUGUUCUCCUUCUCCUUUUUCUCUUUUUUAUACCCCUGGCUCAAAAAUUCUCUAAGAGUGUAUAAAGUUCCCCUCACAGGGAUUUGCAACUGUGAAAAUGGGACAGCAAUCGUAAAAGUUCAAAACUUCUUCCUCCAAAGUGACACUGUUCAUAGGAAUAAAGCUGACAAACUUCUAAUGAGAGAGGCGAAAUCACAGUUACAAUUUAGUAACUGGAGUACACAUGUGAGCCAAAAAUCAAAGCACAUGCAAAGUGGAAAGGAACUAGAAGUUUUUUUUAGUCUAUCAGCCAAAAUAAGAAACAUAUAUGGAGAAUAGCAAUUGUUAUUCUCAGAGGACCAGAACUUUUGCCUAUGUAAUUUAAUGUGAAUCAAGAGUAAUGUUCAAAUAAAAAAAUAGAUAAAAUUCACCUACCUCCCCUGGUUUUUUCCUUCCUAUUCAAAUUAUUCGAAAAUCCCUAAACUUGCGAUUUUUUUCUAAUGGGCUAGAGUAAAUGCAAAAGCAAAGAAAUGUUUACAUAUAGUUAGUUUCCAAGAGGAUCAUAUUUAUUACUCAGAAAUAAACCAAAACCUAACUGUUUUAUCUGUCUUUCUCACCAAAAUUAUACUUUAUCGAUUCUUUACCUGCAGGUUUGAGAUUUGGAAAUCAAUAAAUGUAUCUAUUGGAUCUCUUCCAUGUGCCCAUAUAUAAAGAAUAGUCAUCUUUGAUUUUUCCAAUAGAAAAUAAUAUUCAAUAGAGAAUAAUUAAUCAGCAUCUGAAAGCCUAUGGAAUUUAGCAAAGUAUUUGUGGAACAAACUAUUUUAAACUAAAAUUGCCUGUCUGUUUUGAAAUAACAAAUCCAUGCAAUUUUUAGUCCCUUUGCUGCUUACAUGAGAGCCAUUAAUAAUAUUUCCCUGGUAAAUUAAAAUAAAAAAUGUAGGCUUUACACAAAAAGUAUCUUGCAGUCCUCACAGGAAAUAAGAACACUGUGCUGAUUAGAUAACUUGGACUGCACAGCUGAUUUAGGACACAACAGAUCCUUUAAAAGAAUAACAGAAAUGCUCGCAAUUCCUUGCAAUAGUCGCUUCCCCAUUCUUUGAAGUUACAGAUAACCUAAAAGUCCCAUCACGUCAUGCUAGAUUUUAAUAAAUUCUCAAAAUAUCCGCUCCUUUCCUGUUAUAGUAUCAAACAAAUAGCAAUAAAGAUUUUUGUAAAAACCUUAUGAUUUCAAAAGUGGCAGAGAAAAUUGGUCGCAAAAAAUCAAAGUUCCAGAGGAUGAUGCAGAAGUUGAGUCUAAAAGUAAAAUACAGCAGGGUCCCAGCUACUUGGACCUAGCAGAGCCUGUGCCUGCUUGGUGCUCUAUGCUGCCUUUCUGGUCAAUAGGCAAAGGAGCCCAAGCCUGAUAACCUUAUCACUGAAAGAUCAUGCAAAUGCUGGUGCCUGUGUGUACCAAGUACUGUGUUAGUGACUUGAGGUAGAAAAAUGGGUAAGAUAUAUAUACAAUAUAUAUAGUAUCUGGGCAGACUGAUGAAAAUAUAAAGUAUACAGUACAGUCAAUGCCAAAAUAAAGCUAUGCCCAAGAGACAGCAGAAAACAGACUAACUCUGCUUUUGAUGGAGAAGUUGGGAAUGGUCAGGGAAAGCAGCUAGAGGUGCUAUGUUAUGAUAAGGGCAAGAACUGCUCCCUUUCUGUCCAAAUGUGAUGGUUGUUUAUCCACUAGCCAUCUGUUCGAUUCCUAGCAGAGGUCUGCAGGUUGAUCUCUCAAAGCUCUAACAAAAGCACACCCCCUCCCCUGGCUUUUGGAAAAUCUGUUUGCAUUCUCUAGCUACCUUACAAUGAUAUCACUAUGUGACAAAACUGGAUAAUAAUUUAUGUUCCCAUCCUUGGGCCAAGGAGAAACAGAAGGAGAUGAAGAGCUGAUCCCCAAGUGCCUUUGCUUACAUAUUGUCCAAAAGCACCACAGUUUCACUUCAGAGAAGCCUAUGCACAUGCGGAGUUCCCGUCGUGGCGCAGUGGUUAACGAAUCCGACUAGGAACCAUGAGGUCGCGGGUUCGGUCCCUGCCCUUGCUCAGUGGGUUAACGAUCCGGUGUUGCCGUGAGCUGUGGUGUAGGUUGCAGAUGCGGCUUGGAUCCCGUGUUGCUGUGGCUCUGGCGUAGGCUGUUGGCUACAGCUCUGAUUCGACCCCUAGCCUGGGAGCAUCCAUAUGCCGUGGGAGCGGCCCAAAGAAAUAGCAAAAAGACANAAAAAAAAAAAAAAAAAAAAA
rnacentral:lncRNA from 1 species